UUCCGGUGAUCCUGCGGAGGCUACUGCUAUUGGAGUCGAUUAAGCCAUGCGAGUCUAAGGGGUACUUGUACCCCUGGCAUAAUGCUCAGUAACACGUGGAUAAUCUACCCUUAGGUGGGGCAUAAACCAGGGAAACUGGGGCUAAUACCCCAUAGAUACAGAACGCUGGAAUGCCUCUGUAUUCAAAGCUCCGGCGCCUAAGGAUGAGUCUGCGACCUAUCAGGUAGUAGUCAGGGUCACGACCUGACUAGCCAACGACGGGUACGGGGUGUGAGAGCACUUGCCCGGAGAUGGUUUCUGAGACACGAAACCAGGCCCUACGGGGCGCAGCAGGCGCGAAAACUUCGCAAUGCGGGAAACCGUGACGAGGGAACUCCAAUGUGUCUAUGCAAUGCAUAGACUGUUUUUCAGACUAAAUAGCUGUUAGAGUAAGGGGUGGGUAAGACCGGUGCCAGCCGCCGAGGUAACACCGGCACGCAGAGUGGUAGCCACUAUUAUCGGGCCUAAAGCGUUCGUACGCGGU
rnacentral:rRNA from 1 species